AACUAUACCAGCUGGACGCCCUCGACGUCUCUCUUCUGAGUUGUUGGAUUUUAAUGGAGAUUCAAAGAGCCCGACGGCGGGGGGGUUUUCGAUACUGGAUUCAUCGACCCUUGGAAAGUAAACGUCGAAAUGAUCACCAAGUAUCUGCAAGCCACAAGCCACAGAGGACAAUCUCGUCCAUCUCCUAAAGGAGCAGCAUUCCAAGACGUUCAUACUAUUGCCGUACGACACAGAGUUAGUUUUUACUGUCUUCCGAACAAAUUCCAUUCCCGUACAUACAUGCUAAGUGUUUCAUAUGUCAUGCAUCUCACGCACAUUGUAGAUUCCACUGGGUCCUUUUACUCUUCGACUUGGAGGCAUGCAGAGUCAAUGUCUAUGACUCAAUGAAUAAAAAAGAGUCUACUUUUGACAAGGUUUUUGAACUUAUAGACAGGGCUUGGUAUCGGUUCCGUCAUUUGGUCUGCAACAAUUGGAAAGAAAAACUUAGGCAGAGGUUCAAAUUUCCUGCGAGUACAUGCUCUACAUUUAUAUUGAAUCUCUAACUCAAAUAUAAAUGUAUAUUAAUUAAAUCUCUUGCCGUUUGUCAUGUAUAUAUAGUGUGCAAAGCAAGACCAGGGAACUAACUUGUGCGGCUACUACGUAUGCGAGUAUUGCCACUGCCUUACAACCCAAAUCUACACCACAA